rnacentral:rRNA from 1 species
CANCGGCGGCCCGAGUGGUAACCGCUUUUAUUGGGUCUAAAGGGUCUGUAGCCGGCCAAGUAAGUCCCUUGGGAAAUCUGGCAGCUUAACUGUCAGGCUGCUAGGGGAUACUGCUAGGCUUGGGACCGGGAGAGGUGAGAGGUACCUUGGGGGUAGGGGUGAAAUCUUGUGAUCCUCGGGGGACCACCAGUGGCGAAGGCGUCUCACCAGAACGGGUCCGACGGUAAGGGACGAAAGCUAGGGGCACGAACCGG